UUUACUCAAUUUUUUAUGGAGUUGGAACGUUUGCCCCUAGGGGCGCUGUUCCAACUGCAUACCAAUUUGAGUUA
rnacentral:pre_miRNA from 1 species